UCUAUGAAUGGAUGGACUCUUUCUUUAUAGUUUCUACCAGUUGAAAGCCAAUAGUCAACUCUGUAUGUGCUCUUUGAAUGGUCAACCAUAUUGCUCUCUGUUCAUUUUGCAUUCUUCUAAAGUGCCUCAUGUCUUUAACAAUUCCAUCUUUAAGGUUUCCUAUAUCCCUUGUCCACCAUGCUUCUUUCAUGACAACCAAGGUAUUCCCCAGUUCCCUUCUAUUGGAAUUCUAAUCCCAAAGGGAUUAAGAUUGUUCGCACCGAGUUGCUUCCUUAGAUUACUCAGUGCAUUGUCAAGAUACUUCACAUAAAAAAUGCCUACCAAGCUCAAGAGAUCCAACCUAACUAGCCUUCUUGCUAAGGCUGUAAGGACAAAGAAGUUUCCUGCCAACUUGAAGAAUUAGUGUGAUGUAGCUGAGAAUGACGCUCCUAUUGCUGCUUAGAAUAGGUAGGAGAAGAAGCGAGAUGUUGUUGUCGAGGUGAUUGGAAUUUCUAUUUUAGUUUUUGAAAUGAAAAAAGACAAAGCAGGUCCAAGAUAUUUUUGUUUUUACUAAUAAGGUCCAGGACAUGGAAACACGUAUUAUAUUGUAAACGCCUGAUCAAUAAUUGAUUUUUUUCAAAUGAAAGGUAUUAUGUACGUAUACCGCGCCUAACUCAUUCUUCUCUUCAAGGAACCGGCUUAUAAGGUGAAUAAUGUUACUUUUUAUAAACGUUAAUUAGACUAUUUUACAAUACACUUCUUCAUGCCCGGAUCUAUUGGGUUCGAUAUGUGUAUACAAAAGGUAAGGUGGUCUGAUGGAUAAUCAAUGAGGGACAUAGUUUUUUUCCAAUAAACGGCCAGUUAAAGACUGUGUUAAAAAGUUUUUAGAAUUAACACAAAAAAAAGUUUUUAGGAUCAAUUUCAUAUAAACGAAGACUUCUUUUCGAUGUGAUCCCAAAUUCCACAAUGCCAAGGAAAACAUAAAUAAUUGGCAUUGCAGACUUUCGGGUUCACAUCAAUAGUGUAAAAUACAUCAACAUUCUCGGCAAGUUAGCUUUGGCUUUUAUAAUAUCAAUGGCUAGUAGUAGCAUCCAAAGUGUCUCUUCACCCGGUGCUUUCAGUAGUUGAUGAAAAUAUCUGAAUGUAUUGAACUAUCAGGACAAACUGUUCUACCUAUUUUCUAUGACGGGAGUCCAUCUGAGGUACGAAAGAAAAACGGAAAUUAUGAAAAAGCUUUUCAGAAGCAUGAAUCAAUGAAGCAAGAUUCAAAGAAAAUUUAGAGGAUUUGCAAAUAUGGAGGGGUGCCUUAACUCAAGUAGCCAAUCCCUGGCUGGAAUAUAAAGGAUCAGCUACAAUAUGCAGAUUGGAGAAAUCAUUAGAGUUAGAAAAGCUAUUUUGGACUCAGACAAUGAUGUUCGAGCUGUAGGGAUUUGUGGAAUGAGUUGAAUAGGGAAGGCUACUCUUGUUAAUGCUUUGUAUGCUAGAAUCUGUAAUCAAUUUGUUGCUUGUGCUUUAUCGACGAUGUAAGUAAAAUUUAUGGAGACUAUGGCCCAACCGAAGUGCAAAAGAAACUUCUUUGUCAAACUCUAAAUGAAGAAAAUCUUCAGAUAUGCAAUCUUUCUAUGGGAUCUAAUUUGAUUCGAACUACGCUAUGUCAAAUAAAAUCUCUUACUGUUCUUGAUAAUGUUCAUCAAGUUGAACAACUGGAAAAAUUGGCCAUGAAAUGAGAAUGGCUGGCUAGGCACAAGAAGUAGAAUCAUCGUAAUAUCUAGAGAUAGCCAUAUCUUCAGAGAGCAUGGAGUAGAUGAAGUUUACAAAGUUCGACUCAUAAAUCAUAAUGAUGCCCUUCAAUUGUUUUGUAGGAAAGCUUUAAAAAUUGACGAUGUCAUGAGCGGUUACAUAAACUCGACAGAUGAUGUACUCGAAUAUGCCAAAGGUCUUGCAUAUUAGCAAUUAAAGUGUUGGGAUCAUUUUUGUAGGAGAAGUGUAUUGGCAAGAUUAAGAGAGAAUCCAAGGGCAGAUAUUAUGGAUGUACUUUUAAUUAGUUUUGAAGGACUAAAGGAUACAGAAAAGGAUAUAUUUCUAGAUAUUGCUUGUUUCUUCCAUCAAAGCAUGGAGACAUAAGUGAAGAAGUUUUUACUAUACUUUAACCACUUUUUUUUAUGCCUCUAAAUUCCCCCCUUGUCACACUCAUGUUUGUUGGCUUCUCUAUCACUCCUCCUAAUGACACUACUCUAUUGUCUUCAUUAAAUUCUUUUAGUGAAAUGAAGUCUUGCCAACACUUUUAGUGGCAAAUUUUAAGAGUUAGAGAUGAUAUUGUUUUAAAGAGAAAAAUACACUGACAUCUAAUUGUUUUAUUUUUGGAGUUGUAUUUUUUGUUAAAUCAUAA